NCGUCAAGUNUAUGGCCCUACGCCAGGGCUCACACGUACUACAAUGGUAGGGACAGAGGGCUGCAAGCCGGCGACGGUAAGCCAAUCCCAGAAACCCUAUCUCAGUCCGGAUUGGAGUCUGCAACUCGACUUCCAUGAAGUCGGAAUCGCUAGUAAUCGCAGAUCAGCAUUGCUGCGGUGAAUACGUUCCCGGGCCUUGUACACACCGCCCGUCACACCAUGGGAGUUUGUUGCACCAGAAGCAGGUAGCUUAACCUUCGGGAGGGCGCUUGCCACGGUGUGGCCGAUGACUGGGGUGAAGUCGUAACAAGGUAGCCGUAUCGGAAGGUGCGGUUGGAAANAACCNCCCC
rnacentral:rRNA from 1 species